AGCACCUCUCCCAGCCAGGGGCAGCGCCGCUGGGCAGGGCAGUGCCGCUGGGCAGGGUAGGUGGGAGAGCUUUGUCCUCCCGCAGACGUCCCUGCUGGGAAUGUGGGUCCCAGCACCGUCUGCAGCAGCUCCAGAGCCUUCUUUCCUGAGGGUCUUCAGUUGCGCUGUCCUGGCUGCCUUGACGUCCUGCAUUGAUUCAAAACGUUUCCCUCUCACGGUCAUUUUGAUACUGAGGAAGAGCCAGUUCCAGACCCCGUGAGUAAGGAAGCCCUGGUGUUUGCGUCGGCAGGCACAGUGUGCCCCCAGCCCAGGACUUUCUGCAGCGUUUCACGACGUGUGCUGCUGAACACUUGUGAGUCUUUGCAAAAUUAUAAUGAGUGGGGACAGUUUCCAAUUGAAAUCUUGGAGAAUAAAGCUGGCAAAAUGUUGCCUUGAUUUUCAAAAAAGGGAAGUAUAUAGAAUGGCAAACUUAAUUGUUAAUGGCUUCCAAGCUUCAAGAAUGGAUUAUCAAAGAGACAUACUUAGAACAGAGUAUGAUGAUCACUAGGUGCUCACAUAGAGUCAUGAAAGCUUUUCGUUUUUUGGAGACAGCGUUUGCCAUGCAGUUCAGUCUGGUCUUGAACUUGCAGCAAUCCCGCUGCCUCAGCCUCCCAACUGGUAGGAUUAUAGGUGCGCACCACCACGCCCGGCCAAGCUUUGCAUUUUUGAGUGAGAUCUGGGAGGGAAUGUUCUUGCUCCAAUUGGUGUUUCAGUUAGGUGCUGGAUAAAGGUUCACAAAGUCACCCUGAGGACAAGACAAGGAAACGUCCCCUGGGUGAUUGUGAAGUGUGAUCACAGUGCUACCAUCCACAAGGUGAGGUCAAUGCAAAACCGCAGAAUUUGAAAUGUGCUGCUGAGAACGCAAUGACACACAACCCGGACAGCAUCCUGCGCUCCGGGUUCC